UUGGUGCAUAUGAUGCACACACGUACAUAUUUCAUAUGUUUAUUUUUCUUAGAAAACAUUGCGGCUGUUUACGUCCAUUAAUUUACAUAUAUUUAUUCUUACUGCGGUAUCAUUUAUAAUAAUACUUCCACCUCUAUAGCACCUCCUCUUCAAGGAUCUCCAAUUGCUUAAAAACGUCAAUAAAUAAAGCCUCACAUCUUGCCCGUGAGGUAGGUCACACUGCUAUCAAACUUUACAGAUGCGGUAACUGAAAACAGAGAGGUUAAGGCCAACAUUUUUGAACAUUUGUACCUGAAGUCGAGCAUCUGAAUUGCCAUUUAGAUGCUGAAAUAAAAGUCUCGUGGUUUUCUUUGGUGCAGAACAUCCACAACUACUGCUGCAGUGAGGGGCUCGCAGGCAGGCCUGCCGCUGGAGGCUCAGCUCUGCACGGCCAACAAAGGGCUCCACGUCUGAACACUGCUCUAAAACACACAGCCCACAGCAGAGCCAGAACUCAGCGCAGGGAUUUACCUCCUCAGGGCCUCUCUAUUAUUAAAUACGACUUUAAAAGGCUGGUGUGGAUCGGGUAAAUCAACUUAAGCGACACGAAAGCCAUGGGCUACUUCCACAAACUGCGCCUUUUUGGUUCUCUUUCUUUGCGAGGGGGUGUUUUUCACAGCUUUGUGAUAACGAAGACAACGCACGGCACACGUCACUCGUGCAGUCCUAAAACACAGCACACAUCUCCACUUGCUGCCUUUACGUUUCUACAGAGUAAAUUCCUUUGCGCGUGUGAUAAAUAGGAGUGGCCGAUAAAGGGCUAUGAGGAUACGUGUCAGAAGUCAUGCACACAGCUUGCAACACACAGAUUAAAAGAUCACCGUUAAAGUUCUUGAGUUUAAGCACAACAGCAACUACCUCAUUCCAAUACAGUACUGUGUAGAAACACGGAAUAAGAAGCACUGCCUUAUUCCCGACGUCGUUAGGUUAUAACAACUAAUUAAGUUAAAAAAAUUCAGGCACCAAAUGAAUUAUCCCGCAACACAGAAUAGGGUCUAUACAGAGUGCUCUCCUGGAUAUACUACAGGACCAGCCGUACGGCACUACAUUUUGCACCACGUUAUGAGCGUCUCAUCACAUCUCCAACACAUCCCUGCACGUUUCCUGCUGACCUCUAUGGAAACUUCUCAGGCAGAAGAGAAACUCCCCACGAGGGGAAAAGCCACCGCCUCACGGCAGCUGCCUGGACCACAGCUUCUAUGUGCACCGGUCAACUUCAUAACAAGAAAAAUAGGCAACGCAUACAGCAUCGCGAUGCCGCUCCGCUCCCAACGCCAGCGCAGACCUCCGAUUAUCUUCCAGGUGUCUGUGCUGCAGCCGGGCCGGGAGGAGCCGCCGCUGCGCCUGUGUACGUCGUACGGUCGUUAAGGUCGGAAAAGACCACGAAGAUCAUCUGGUCCAGCCGUCAGCGCACCGCCGUGUCCCUUAGUGCCACAUCUCUGCGGUUCUCGAACACCUUCAGGGACCCCAUUGCCUCCCUGGGCAGCCGUGCCAGCGCCUCACCGCUCUUUGUGAGAAGAAAUUCUUCUGAAUAGCCAGUCUGCACCUCCGGAGCGACAUAAAGCCGUUACCUCUUGUCCCGUGGCUGUUACUUGAGAGCAGAGGCUGCUUUCAGUGUUCUGCUCCCUAUAGGACUCAUGCCCUAGACCCUUCAGCUGAUCUGUUGCCCUUCUCUAGUCAUGCUGCAGGGCCUCAAUGCCUUUCUUGCAGUGAGGGCCCCACGCUGAACACAGCACUCGAGGUGCGGCCUCGCCAGUGCCAGGACAGAGGGACAGUCACCUCCUGCUGGCUGCCCCGUUUCUGAUAUAAGCCAGGGUGCCAUUGGCCUUCUUGGUCACCUGGCACACUGCAGCCUCAUGUUCAGCCACCUGGCGGCUAACACCGCCAGAUCCUUCUUCCAGCAUUGUGUUGUAGCACUGAGAGCCUUUGCUCACUGCAGACCCAACCCAGGCAACAGUGCAUCCAUAGCUUCCAGCCCUGUAAUACUGAGCAGUACAAUGGGUUCACUGAGGUAAAUUCUGCUCCUCUAUGCCAUAUGCAUUUGGAGUAACUCCAUUAUAUUCAAGUUUAGCACAGGCCCUGAAAACAGUGGUUUUUCUCAGCAGAUCUGAAAUGCACAUCUGGGUAGGGGUGGCUGUGGGGCCGUAUUGCAGGCUCUGCCCUGUCUGGGCCCCACAGUGCUCACCAGAUGUGUUGCCCUCCGCUUGUGCUGGACCUUGGCCUUGUCCUGAACCUGAGGGUGCCGAAUGAGGGGGGGAACUGCCUAGGAGCAGCCUGUGAGGGCUGAGCACGUGUGGCUGAUGUGCAGAAGCAGAUCCGAGCGUGGCCCACGAGGCCCUGAGCAGUACAUCUCACAUCUCACAGGGGAGAACUUGCGUGGGGAUUCUCGGCAUAAAGUGAAAUAAUGGGAUAAAGUUGAGGAGCUUCGGUCUGUGAAAAGAAGAAAGAAAACAAGUUCUGUUGUCACUGUGGUGGACAGCCACUAUUGCAUGUGGGAUCAGCAAUCAUCCCUCUGAAGGCCAAUUGGCUCUGCCUGUGGCUGCAGAGCAUCACCCCACCUGGGUUCAGACUCUUUUCAUCCAGCUCUCGUACAUUCAUUUGGUGUGAUACAAAUCAUCUUGUUCACUUGUGAACUCUUAAAUGCUUUCAGAUAUGUGUCUGCGUUUGUUUUUGUUAUGCUUUGCUUGUUUGUUUGUUGUUUGGUACUGUUUCCCAGUUGUUUCGGCCUUCCCUUUUAAUUAGUUUGUUGCUACAUUUCAGGAGAGCUGUGACAGUUGUAUGUCAGAUUAUCCCAGGCUCCAUUCUUCCACUUAAUACUUCUGCCAUGUUCGUAAUCCUCCAACUUUCAGUUAAUGUUCAGAACGCACCAAAGUGCCAAGAAGAUCCAAGCAAAUUCAGAUUCAAGUAAAAUUAUCCAAGGCACUGUAUCAAAUGCUUUAAUAGGGCCCAGAUAUAUCAGCUGCGUUUCUGGUUCAGACCUCUGCUUUUUGUGUCCUGAGUUUUCUUAUCCGAGCUGUGUCUGCCUGGGGGUCAGCUGGAACUGCACCCAGCAUGGGAGGCAGCUCUGGGGGAGCUUCCUGCAGCUCGGGCAGAGACACACAGGGGAAAGGGCAAAGUGGGGCAGAACUGAGAAAUAAAAUAAAGCUGGUAGAGGUGAACGGAGGAUGAAUUUUACAUUUCGUUUUAGAAGAGCAGGUGUUUAGUUGCAGAAAGUUCUUGGGUGGUGGUUACUCCUGUAAACAGAAGGCUGUGGCUGGGAGAGGAAAUGAAGCAGGGACCACAGCAGUGGUGCUUUGUGUACGUACCUCCCCGCAGGGCACAGCCACCCCUGGCCUUACCCUCUGCUCCCAGCCGUGCUGUGUGCAUGGGACCAGCACGGUGUGGGCAGCCCGUGCUCUGCCACGGCCAGCAGCAGGGCAGCGAGGGUGGGAAGAUGUCUCCCUGUAGGGUGUGAACGCCUCAGAAUCUGGAAUGAGGAGAACAGAAAUGUGUCUAAACCUUGAAAGAGUCACUGUAUGCCCCGAGGUCCAGAUGUGUUCUGUCCUUCAGUUGCUUCAGUUACAGUUAGCAUUUGUUUUUGGACAGUUGGCCUGGAGAGCCCUUCUUUAAUGGUAAAAAAAAAAACAACCCUGAAAUGCAGCUGAGGUGAUUGCAAGUGAACCAGUGCCUCAGCCUUUGGAUGCUGUUCAGAAGUUGUGUUGCUGAGCAGAGGUGACAAACAGCCCUUACGAAACACACGUUUUUUCCAUUUAAAAUAACCACCCUGCAGCUGCUAAGGAUUGAUUUUAGCCUGUUAAAUAUUGGGCCGAUGGACCCCGUGCAGCCCUCCAGUCCUGCACGGAUGCUCUACUGGAUGCAGGAGGAGCUGCACAGUGAGACAGGAGCUGGUGGUGAGCCAAGCUCCAGCACUGCACGUUUGUCACAGCGCUGUGCUGGAGCGUCCCUGCAGCACCAAUGUGUUGUGUGCAUAAUGUCUGCUUUGAUGCACAGUCGGUAUAUCCAGUGACACUGAACAUCUCACUUUGUAGGUAGGAAAAACGUUAUUUCUGAUGGACACAUGAGACAGGGAUGGCUGGGCUGCCAGCCUGCUCGUGGUAACAAUGGUAAGAAUCCCUUUUAAAUGUUUUCUAUGCAUUUCAACAAUUCAGUAGGCUACGAAGGACUGAUGCAAAGGAUGUUGAAGUCAGACAGCUCUUCAGUUAAGUCCUCGUGGUUUAAUAUGCUCUUGUGGUUGACACCAGAAGCUUUUUGCCAGUACUUGUAUAUCACCAGUAUGUAUUUAUAAACGUCUGCUUACUGUAGGACAUUCUGGAGUGCACAGAGCCACGAAGCUUGGAGCUCACACCAUAGCUGUUUAGAAGAGAACUCUCUUCCUUUUCAUCGUUCCACUCAAAUUCAUCUACACAAAUUUUCUCCUCCGGUCCCAUUUCCCAUUGCUGUUGCAGGGCGGUGCGUUACCUUUGUGCCCUAUCAUUGGACUGUAGGGUGCUGCAGCAGCAUCCUCUGCUUUCUUCACGCUAACGUUUUAUUUCAUGUAAUGUAUUUGUGAAUAAUUUAUCAUUAAAGUGGUUUCUUUUUUUGUCUUUUCUGCUUUGGAACUUCUGUGAAAGCCAUUGCAUGCAGUACAGAAGGGAAUGUUAAUUUUCAGUGAUAUUUACGUGCUAUUUUAGGGACCUGAAAAAGGAUGGGAAGGAUUACAGUUAUGACCAAUGCCAUGUCUGUUGUAGCCAUGUACAAAACGUGUUGUUCCCUCCCUUAAUGCAUGUGAUACAAACCGUGCAGAGGUAAAUAGAGAUGGUGGUACUAUAUUUGACGUUCUUCUACUCCCCAGAAAGUCUUUGUUGUGUUGUAGCUGCUAAAUACAGCCCUGUGUCAGUUGCCUCAAGCGAGGAGCGAUGUGUGACAGAUCCCAGAUUUUCUUAAAGUGAAGCUGCUUCCCCUGAACGGUGAGAAAGGAGCUGGCAUUGUGUCUCCUCUGCAAGCACUGCAAAGGCACUGGG
rnacentral:lncRNA from 1 species